rnacentral:rRNA from 1 species
UGGGCUGUAAACCUCUUUUAUCAAGGAAGAAGAUCUGACGGUACUUGAUGAAUAAGCCACGGCUAAUUCCGUGCCAGCAGCCGCGGUAAUACGGGAGUGGCAAGCGUUAUCCGGAAUUAUUGGGCGUAAAGCGUCCGCAGGCGGUCUUACAAGUCUGUCGUUAAAGCGUGGAGCUUAACUCCAUUUCAGCGAUGGAAACUGUAAGACUAGAGUGUGGUAGGGGCAGAGGGAAUUC